CACGCUACAGAAAAACUGGGUUAGUUGAUCAAGCCCAUCAUUUUUGUAGAUGGGCCUCUUCCCACUAAGAUCCCUUGAAUUGAGAUGAAACUCAAAUUGAACACCACACAGGAGAAGAAUAAGCAAAAAUCACAGUGAGGAAGAUCCAAGAACAUAAUGCCCAUCAUUUAAAAGGGUUUCAAAUUUGCAUUACUGCAUUUUAAACGACAAUAUUGAAAAUGCUCUAUGAAAGCAAUUGAAUCUAAGCUUAUUCUUCAGCGACUGGUACCCAUUUUCCAGGACAUAGAGAAGUCUUUGCCUACAGGAAUAUCCAAACCCGAAACCUCUACAGCCACACUCUUCUUAAUAUCUCCAACUUGAACAUCCUCGUGAUACUUCUGUUCCAUUGAACUCAACCCUACCUUCGAAGCCCCAACAACAGGGUUUCCAUUAACCUCGAGUGCCGAUGGCUGCCCACUUCCAUCUAAUCCCAACACAGUCACCUUCUCAAUAAUCCAACCCUUCUGCAAAGCAAACUUACCCUCCUCAACUUUCGACCAAACCUUUACAGUUCCUUGAUUUGUAGUUGCAUACAAGUGAACAUAUGUUGAAUACCCAUUUCCAAGCUUCAUUUCUGGAAGCUCAUCAUUAUCAAGGUAAAGGCUUCCAUUGGCUGCUGCAUAACUAGCUCCUGCAGGGAAGGUCACUACAAGGCUAAAAGGCGUCAUUCUGGCUUGCUUAGAAAUCAGUCCACCCUGCUGCAUCGGUAGGAUACUAUUCUGAUACAAAUGCACAUUAACCACAUGCAAAGGUGCAUCGAGGGUGACGUAUUGUCCAUCUUUUGAUGUAAUGGUUUGUGUCAUAUCAAAUACGCUGUACCAACUACCUGGAGGAAAGAGGGCUUUAACCUGUGAUUUCCCUUGCUCAAGCACCGGAGACACCAUGAGACCACUUCCCAGCAAGAACUGAGUGCUCAACCCAUAACAUUCGGUGUAACUCGGGAAUGAGAAGAAAAGAGGUCUGGCAAUUGGGGCCCCACUCAUAUGAGCCUCAUAGUUCAAUGUGUACAGAUACGGAAGAAGCUUAUACCUCAUGCCAAGAGCAUUUCUAGCUGAUUCAGCUACCGACUCCCACUGAUAAAGCUCCUGCCUUGGAGAGUAAUAAUUGGCAUGAUCCCUUGAGAAGGGGUAGAAAGCACCAACUUCAAUCCAACGGUUGCAAAGCUCUUCUGUAGGUUGAGGAUAGAACCCACAUAUAUCUGCACCGACCAUUGGCACGCCAAAAAUACCAAAAUUUAACAUAGUAGAUAUGGAAUACCUCAGAUUCUCCCAAGUGCCCUGAUUAUCACCCGUCCAAUGAGCAGCAUAUUUGCCUGAUCCAACAUAUGUGGAGCGUGUCAAAAUAAACGGCCGCUUGCCCUCAAGCUCUUGCAGGGCCUUGUGAGUGGCAAUAGCUUGAGAGAAUCCAUACAGACUAUGGGCAUCAUACUCCAAAACACCAUUAUAGUGGACUGCACUGGUGGCUAUGGUUUUGUACCCUAUUGGAGCCUGUAUCCCUGAAGCAUUUAUCUUGUAAGGUGGAUCAUCCCACCUUGUCUUUGUUAUGUUCUUGCAAUCCAGGCAACAGACCCAACCAGGUCCAGUUCCAUUUGGACAUAUCCUGCCCUCUGGUAUUGUGCAAAGUCCAGAACAAAAGUUUGAAGCUUCAUUCAUGUCAAUCCAUAGGCCAUCAACAGGAACAAGUUCAUG
rnacentral:misc_RNA from 1 species